UACUAGGAACAGUUCUUCCACGGGCCC
rnacentral:piRNA from 1 species